UCUGGUUGAUCCUGCCUGAACUGAUGUGUUCAUUUCAAAGAUUAAGCCAUGCAUGUAUAAGUAUAACCUGCCAGACAGGGAAACUGCGUACGGCUCAUUACACCAGCCUUAAUUUACUUGACCUUGACACCCUACUUGGAUAACUGUGGUAAUUCUAGAGCUAAUACAUGCACAAAAGCUCCGCUCUUCCCAGAGCAGAGUGCAUUUGUUCGCCACAAAACCAAGCGCCCCCAUGGGCGUUCUGUGUUGACUCAGAACAACUAAGCUGAUCGCACGGUCUUGCACCGGCGACGUGUCUUUCAAGUGUCUGCCUUAUCAACUUUCGAUGGUGGUGUAUCUGACCACCAUGGUGAUGACGGGUAACGGAGGAUCAGGGUUCGACUCCGGAGAGGGCGCCUGAGAAAUGGCGACCACGUCUAAGGAUGGCAGCAGGCGCGCAAAUUACCCACUCUCGACUCGAGGAGGUAGUGACGAGAAAUAACGAGAGUGUUCUCGAUUGAGGCCACUCAUCGGAAUGGGUACAAUUCAAACCCUUUAACGAGUAUCUAUGACAGGGCAAGUCUGGUGCCAGCAGCCGCGGUAAUUCCAGCUGUCAAAAUGCAUAGAAUUAUUGCUGCGGUUAAAAAGCUCGUAGUUGGAUCUGUGCUAGGUGUCCGGUCCGCCCUCUGGGUGUGCACUGGUGCACCCAGCUUUCCCGCCGGUCUCUCCCUGAUGUUGGCUUUAACCGGCUGGCAUUAGUGGGCUGGCAGCUUUACUUUGAACAAAUCAGAGUGCUUCAAACAGGCGUCUCGCCUGAAUGUUCGUGCAUGGAAUAAUAGAAGAGGAUCACGGUCCGAUUUUAUUGGUUUUGCUGACCGAGAUAAUGGUUAACAGAGACAAACGGGGCCAUUCGUAUUGCUACGUGAGAGGUGAAAUUCUUGGACCGUAGCAAGACGGACUACAGCGAAAGCAUUUGGCAAGAAUGUCUUCAUUAAUCAAGAACGAAAGUCAGAGGUUCGAAGGCGAUCAGAUACCGCCCUAGUUCUGACCGUAAACGAUGCCAACUAGCGAUCCGCCAGUCGACUCAUCGCUCUGGUGGGGAGCUUCCCGGAAACGAAAGUCUUCCGGUUCCGGGGGAAGUAUGGUUGCAAAGCUGAAACUUAAAGGAAUUGACGGAAGGGCACCACCAGGAGUGGAGCCUGCGGCUUAAUUUGACUCAACACGGGGAAACUCACCCGGCCCGGACACCGUAAGGAUUGACAGAUUGAUAGCUUUUUCAUGAUUCGGUGGAUGGUGGUGCAUGGCCGUUCUUAGUUCGUGGAGCGAUUUGUCUGGUUUAUUCCGAUAACGAGCGAGACUCUGGCCUACUAAAUAGUUGACGCAUUGCCACUGUGCGCACAACUUCUUAGAGGGAUUUUCGGUGUUUUCAACCGCACGAAAUUGAGCAAUAACAGGUCUGUGAUGCCCUUAGAUGUCCGGGGCUGCACGCGCGCUACACUGGCAAACGCAACGUGCCUGUCCUGCCCCGAAAGGAGCGGGUAAACCCCUGAAAUUUUGCCGUGAUUGGGAUCGGACAUUGCAACUAUUGUCCGUGAACGAGGAAUUCCUUGUAGGGGCGAGUCAUCAACUCGUCCCGAAUACGUCCCUGCCCUUUGUACACACCGCCCGUCGCUGCCCGGGACUGAGCCAUUUCAAGAAAACCGGGGAUUGAUGGCCUAACGGCUCCAUACGGGGCCCGCUGGCCGUUGAAAACCGGCUUAAUUGCAAUGGUUUGAACCGGGCAAAAGUCGUAACAAGGUAGCUGUAGGUGAACCUGCUGCUG
rnacentral:rRNA from 1 species